rnacentral:lncRNA from 1 species
GAUGCCUGGACCCAUGGGUAGUACAGAACCCUUCAUAUACUAUGUUUUUCCCUAGCCAUACCUACCUAAGAGAAAGUUUAAUUUAUAAAUCAAGCACAGGCCAGGUGUGGUGGCUCACGCCUGUAAUCCCAACACUUUGGGAGGCCGAGGCGGGUGGAUCAUCUGAGGUUAGGAGUUUGAGACCAGCCUGGCCAACAUGGUGAAACCCUGUCUCUACUGAAAAUACAAAAAUUAGCCGGGCGUGGUGGUGCGUGCCUGUAGUCCCAGCUACUCGGGAGGCUGAGGCGGGAGAAUUGCUUAAACCCGGGAGGCAGACGUUGCAGUGAGCCGAGAUCGUGCCACUGCACUCCAGCCCAGGCAACAGAGCAAGAUCCAUCUCAGUAAAUAAAUCAAUAAAUCAAGCAAAGUAGGAGAUUAACAGCAAUAACUAAAGAUAAAAUAAAAUGAUUAUAACAAUAUGCCUUCAUUACUACUCUUGCACUUUGGGGCUAUUAUGAAGUCAAAUAAAGGUGACUUGAGCACAAGCACCCUGGCCUUCCCAGGACUGUCAGUCUGAUAACAGAGCCAGCUACUCAGUGACUAGUGGGAGAGUAGUGUAGACAGCGUGGAUUGCAGGACAAAGGGAUGAGUCACGUCCCAGGCGGGACGGCACGACACUUCAUCACGCUGCUCAGAACAACGUGUGAUUUCAAACUUCUGAAUUAUUUCUGGAAUUUUCCGUUUACUCUUUGCAGACUUUGGUUGACCUUGGGGAGCAAACCGAGGACCGCGAAACCACAGAUCAAGGGGGAGCUCGUGUCAUAGCAGCUCUAACUUAGUGCUUACAACAUGCAGGCACUGUUCUAGUCAUUUUGCGUAUAUUCAUGAAUCCUCCCACAACCACCGUGUUCACGAGGAAGCGGAGGCAGAGGGAGGUUUAGUGAGUUGCUGGAGGCAGCCCAGCUGGUGAGCUGAGGCUCAGCCGCACGACCGUGCUCUGGCCCCAAAACACUCCUCGGUAACCCCCAUCCUGCCCACACAAAUGGCCCCGGAACACAGCGGCUGCUUUGAGUCAGUUUCUCUCUCGAUGACUUUUCCACGUUGGCUUCGAUCUGGGAGUUCCGUUUUCUGUGUAUUUGCUGUCAAUUUCUAUGCCUUUGGAUGUUAGUCAUUUUCCGAGGUGCUAAAAGGGGCUGGUGUGUGUUUUUUCAUUCCUCUACAGGUGGCCCUGGGAUGGUAACAGAUGCGGAGAGAUCCAUAGUAUCACCAAGUGAAAGCUGCGGCCCCAUCAAUGUGAAAACUGAACCCAUGGAAGAUUCUGGUGGGUACCAAGAUGCUUUUAGAAUCAAGUAUCGGCCAAGCGUGGUAGCUCACGCCUGUAAUCCCAGCAAUUUGGGAGGCCGAGGCAGGCGGAUCACUUGAGGUCAGGAGUUCAAGACCAGCCUGGCCAACAUGGUGAAACCCCGUCUCUCCUAAAAAUACAAAAAUUAGCCAGGCGUGGCUGUGCGUGCCUGUAAUCCCAGCUACCAGGGAGGCUGAGGCAGGAGAAUUGCUUGGACCUGGGAGGCUGAGGCUGCAGUGAGCUGAGAUGGCGCCACUGCACUCCAGCCUGGGUGACAGAGCAAGACCCUGUCUCAAAAAAACAAACAAGGCUGCGCACGGUGGAUCACGCUUGUAAUCCCAGCACUUUGGGAGGCUGAGGCGGACAGAUCGCCUGAGCUCAGGAGUUCAAGACCAUCCUGGCCAACAUAGUAAAACCCUGUCUCUACUAAAAUACAAAAAAUUAGCUGGGCAUGUUCGUGUGCGCCUGUAGUCCCAGCUACUUGGGAGGCUGAGGCAUGAGAAUUGCUUGAGCCCGGGAGGUGGAGGUUGCAGUGAGCCAAGAUCGCACCACUGCACUCCACCUUGGGCUACAGAGUGAGAUUCUGUGUCAAAAAAAAACAAAAACAAAAACAAAAACAAAAAAACAAAAAAAAAGAACCAAGUAUCUAGCAGGUUAUCAUUUGACACCUUUCUUUUGUUUUAUCAAAUAAAUAAAUAAAUAAAGACCAGGGCGUGAAUUAACCUC